CCUUAUUUUACUUCUCCGUUGAAUCACAAAGUCCUUCAUUUCCAAACAAGACAGCCGCUUAAGACCAACCAAUACACAAUAUGAACCCUAGAUCUGGGAAUUUUUUCAUCUUUGUGUCUCUUUCAUAUCUAUCUUUAAUUCUCUAAACUGGUUUGUUUGCUCUUUGAUUUGGACGUUGUUAGAAUACAUCUUUAUUUCUAUGUGCCUAAAUCUCAUGUUUAAUUGAUUUUUAUUUUGCCAUACAAGCAAGCUGAGCUUGAAUCACUACCGGAGUUUUCUUUGCCGCCCAAACAUCUUCUAAUGGUAUAUACAAGUCAGCCCAUGAGACCAGACAAGUGUCUGCAUCUGAACCUUUAGUUGGUGAUUAGGGUUUUUACAGCUUCUUGAAAUUAAGCUUUCAAUUGGGUUUGAAAUCAAGGGCUGAUGCAUUCAACUGGAAGGUAAAUGAAUUAUAAAAGAGCGGAGGAAAUAAAGAAACCAAGAUAGAGAAUAUAGAAGAGCUAGCAGUGGAGAGCUCAAAUCAAAUUAAAGAAUCUUUGUCGUAGAUUAAUCUUCAUACCAACCAAGUUAUUGGUGGAUAUUAGAUGGUAUAUGUGGUUUGGUUGUAACACUAGUUAUUAGUAGUGCAUAAUGAUGAUUUUUGUUUACAAA